GGACCAAGGAGUCUAGCAUGUACGCGAGUCAUUGGGACUUGACAAAACCUAAAGGCGUAAUGAAAGUAAAGGUCCGCCUAGCGCGGACCUAGGGAAGAUGGGCGACCGUUUCGGCUGUCGCCCCGCACUCCCGGGGCGUCUCGUUCUCAUUGCGAGAAGAGGCGCACCAAGAGCGUACACGCUGGGACCCGAAAGAUGGUGAACUAUGCCUGGUCAGGACGAAGUCAGGGGAAACCCUGAUGGAGGUCCGUAGCGAUUCUGACGUGCAAAUCGAUCGUCGGAACUGGGUAUAGGGGCGAAAGACUAAUCGAACCAUCUAGUAGCUGGUUCCCUCCGAAGUUUCCCUCAGGAUAGCUGGCACUCAUAGAGCACGAGUUUCAUCCGGUAAAGCGAAUGAUUAGAGGCAUUGGGGUCGAAACGGCCUCAACCUAUUCUCAAACUUUAAAUGGGUGAGAUCUCCGGCUUGCUCGAACGAAUGAAGCCGCGAGACUCGAAUCAGAGUGCCAAGUGGGCCAUUUUUGGUAAGCAGAACUGGCGCUGUGGGAUGAACCAAACGCUGAGUUAAAGCGCCUAAAUCGACGCUUAUGGGAUACCAUGAAAGGCGUUGGUAACUUAAGACAUCAGGACGGUGGCCAUGGAAGUCGGA
rnacentral:rRNA from 1 species